CCUACGGGGGGCUGCAGUGGGGAAUCUUGCACAAUGGGGGAAACCCUGAUGCAGCGACGCCGCGUGAGUGAUGAAGCCCUUCGGGGUGUAAAGCUCUUUCGGCAGGGACGAUAAUGACGGUACCUGAAGAAGAAGCUGCGGCUAACUACGUGCCAGCAGCCGCGGUAAUACGUAGGCAGCGAGCGUUGUUCGGAGUUACUGGGCGUAAAGAGUGCGUAGGCGGUGGCCCAAGUCUGUUGUGAAAUCUCCCGGCUUAACCGGGAGGGUGCGGUGGA
rnacentral:rRNA from 1 species